CCUACGGGGGGCAGCAGUGAGGAAUAUUGGUCAAUGGGCGGAAGCCUGAACCAGCCAAGUCGCGUGAGGGAAUAAGGCCCUACGGGUCGUAAACCUCUUUUGCCGGGGAGAAAGGGCGGGGACGUGCCCCCCCGCGGAGAGUACCGGGAGAAAAAGCCUCGGCUAACUCCGUGCCAGCAGGCGCGGUAAUACGGAGGAUGCGAGCGUUAUCCGGAUUUGUUGGGUUUAAAGGGUGCGUAGGCGGGCUUUUAAGUCAGCGGUAAAAAUUCGGGGCUCAACCCCGUCCGGCCGUUGAAACUGGGGGCCUUGAGUGGGCGAGAAGAAGGCGGAAUGCGUGGUGUAGCGGUGAAAUGCAUAGAUAUCACGCAGAACCCCGAUUGCGAAGGCAGCCUGCCGGCGCCCUACUGACGCUGAGGCACGAAAGUGCGGGGAUCGAACAGGAUUAGAUACCCGAGUAGUC
rnacentral:rRNA from 1 species